AUUGAACGCUGGCGGCAGGCCUAACACAUGCAAGUCGAGCGGAUGAAGGGAGCUUGCUCCUGGAUUCAGCGGCGGACGGGUGAGUAAUGCCUAGGAAUCUGCCUGGUAGUGGGGGAUAACGUCCGGAAACGGGCGCUAAUACCGCAUACGUCCUGAGGGAGAAAGUGGGGGAUCUUCGGACCUCACGCUAUCAGAUGAGCCUAGGUCGGAUUAGCUAGUUGGUGGGGUAAAGGCCUACCAAGGCGACGAUCCGUAACUGGUCUGAGGAUGAUCAGUCACACUGGAACUGAGACACGGUCCAGACUCCUACGGGAGGCAGCAGUGGGGAAUAUUGGACAAUGGGCGAAAGCCUGAUCCAGCCAUGCCGCGUGUGUGAAGAAGGUCUUCGGAUUGUAAAGCACUUUAAGUUGGGAGGAAGGGCAGUAAGUUAAUACCUUGCUGUUUUGACGUUACCAACAGAAUAAGCACCGGCUAACUUCGUG
rnacentral:rRNA from 1 species